GAAAAGGGAGGAGCCCAGCGCCGAAUCCCCGGCCCACGGUCGCGGGAAAUGUGGCGUUUAGGAGUGAGCGUGCCGGGUUCGACGGCGGCSRCAAGUCCCCCUGACCGGGGCCUGUCCGUAGCGGGUGCGAGGCCCAUAGCCGCCGCCUUCGUCUCGGAUGCGAUCUCCUUGGAGUCGGGUUGCUUGGGAGUGCAGCCCUAAUCGGGUGGUAAACUCCACCUAAGGCUAAAUACCGCCGUGAGACCGAUAGCAAACAAGUACCGUGAGGGAAAGUUGCAAAGAACUUUGAAGAGAGAGUUCAAGAGUACGUGAAACUGCUCAGAGGUAAACGGGUGGGCCCUCGAAAUCCUGUGGCGAGAGGAUUCAGUCUGGCGGGGCGGACGUGCAUUCGGAAGACCGAGCAGGGCUUCCCGUCUACUGGGGCCGUCCGAUAGCGCGCCUUCCGCCUUUCCAGACGCAUUUGUCUCUCGUCCGAAGGACGCUGCAGCCGGUCUGGCAGUGCAAGCGCGACGGCCUGAAGGUCGGGAAACGGCAGGUGUCCGGCGGCUCGCCUCGUGCGGGCUGUCGGUUGUUAGCCAUCCCGUCAGUGGCUCGUCGCCAGACCGAGGUGUCGCGAGUCCCUCCCCGGGACUCUCCGUCUCCACCCCUGUCGGUCGCGGGACUGGACGUGGCAAGGGAACCGUGCCUACCGCCGUCGCACUCUUACGGAGUGGGCGGAGGUGUACGGGACCCCGUUGGCUGCGACGGACCCGUCGGGGACCGGAGGCUGGCAGCGAGUAGGUCGGUCACCCACCCGACCCGUCUUGAAACACGGACCAAGGAGUCUAACAUGUGCGCGAGUCAAUGGGUCUUGACUAGGCCCAGGGGCGCAAUGAAAGCGAAGGACUGCCUCGCGCAGUCUCAGUGGGGAUCCCCUCCCUUGACGGGGAGGGGCGCACCCACGACCCGUCCUAUCCGGCU
rnacentral:rRNA from 1 species